AGCAAGGCAAGGUAUAUACAGAAAUGGGC
rnacentral:piRNA from 1 species